AUGAACCGGCAAUGGAUGUACGGUGACAGACACACCCGCGAGUACAUUAAGGGCGUGCAUGAGUUUCUCGAUGCGGCUGAGGCAAACAAGCAGAAUGGUUUUAUGUGUUGUCCAUGCACUGAAUGUGGGAAUACGAGGUCUUACUCUAACCGGAAAAUCCUUCACUCCCACCUGCUUUACAAGGGUUUCAUGCCACACUAUAAUGUUUGGACAAGGCACGGAGAAAUAGGGGUUAUGAUGGAAGACGGCGAAGAAGAAGAGUACGAUGACAACUAUGUGCCCCCUGAAUACGGUGAUGCUGCAACGGAGGGAGCUGGUGAAGAUCAAGAGGAACCAGACGAUGAUGUGCCCAAUGAUGCUGCCACGGGUGAAGCUGCUGAAGAUCAAGAGGAACCAGACGAUGUGCCCGAUGAUGAUGAUCUCCGCCGGGUCAUUGUCGAUGCAAGGACGCAAUGCAUUAGUCAAAAGGAGAAGCUGAAGUUCGAUCACAUGUUAGAGGAUCACAAAAAAGGGUUAUACCCCAAUUGCGAAGAUGGCAACACAAAGCUCGGUACCAUACUAGAAUUGCUGCAGUGGAAGGCAGAGAAUGCUGUGGCUGACAAAGGAUUUGAGAAGCUACUGAAAAUAUUGAAGAAGAAGCUUCCAAAGGAUAACGAAUUGCCCGACAGUACAUACGCAGCAAAGAAGGUCGUAUGCCCUCUAGGAUUGGAGGUGGAGAAGAUACAUGCAUGCCCUAAUGACUGCAUCCUCUACCGCGGUGCAUACAAGGAUCUGAACGCAUGCCCGGUAAGCGGUGCGUUGCGGUAUAAGAUCAGACGAGAUGACCCCGGUGAUGUUGACGGCGAGCCCCUCAGGAAGAGGGUUCCUGCGAAGGUGAUGUGGUAUGCUCCUAUAAUACCACGGUUGAAACGUCUGUUCAAAAACGAAGAGCAUGCCAAGUUGAUGCGAUGGCACAGUGAGAACCGAAAGAAAGAUGGGAAGUUGAGAGCACCCGCUGACGGGUCGCAGUGGAGAAAAAUCAAGAGAAAGUACUGGGAUGAGUUUGCAAAGGACCCAAGGAAUGUAUGGUUUGCUUUAAGCGCGGAUGGCAUUAAUCCUUUCGGGGAGCAGAGCAGUAAUCACAGCACCUGGCCCGUGACUCUAUGUAUGUAUAACCUUCCUCCUUGGAUGUGCAUGAAGCGGAAGUUCAUUAUGAUGCCAGUUCUCAUCCAAGGCCCUAAGCAACCCGGCAACGAAAUUGAUGUGUACCUAAGGCCAUUAGUUGAAGAACUUUUACAGCUGUGGAAUGGAAACGGUGUACGUACGUGGGAUGAGCACAGACAGGAGGAAUUUAACCUUAAGGCAUUGCUGUUCGUGACCAUCAACGGUUGGCCCGCUCUCAGUAACCUUUCAGGACAGACAAACAAAGGAUACCACGCAUGCACGCACUGUUUAGAUAACACUGAAAGUAUAUACCUGGACAAAUGCAGGAAGAAUGUGUACCUGGGCCAUCGUCGAUUUCUUCCGACCAACCAUCAAUGUCGAAAGAAAGGCAAGCAUUUCAAAGGCGAGGCAGAUCACCGGAAGAAGCCCGCCAUG
rnacentral:rRNA from 1 species